CCUACGGGUGGCAGCAGUGAGGAAUAUUGGUCAAUGGCCGAGAGGCUGAACCAGCCAAGUCGCGUGAGGGAAGACGGCCCUACGGGUUGUAAACCUCUUUUGUCGGGGAGCAAAGCGAGUCACGUGUGACUCAUUGAGAGUACCCGAAGAAAAAGCAUCGGCUAACUCCGUGCCAGCAGCCGCGGUAAUACGGAGGAUGCGAGCGUUAUCCGGAUUUAUUGGGUUUAAAGGGUGCGCAGGCGGUCGUGAAAUUGAGCGGUCAAAGUGCGGGGCUCAACCCCGUACUGCCGUUGAAACUGCAACCCUUGAGUGCGGGAGAGGUAUGCGGAAUGCGUGGUGUAGCGGUGAAAUGCAUAGAUAUCACGAAGAACUCCGAUUGCGAAGGCAGCAUACCGGAGCGCAACUGACGCUGAUGCACGAAAGCGUGGGUAUCGAACAGGAUUAGAUACCCUGGUAGUC
rnacentral:rRNA from 1 species